GGCGAGAUGGCCGAGUGGUCUAAGGCGCCAGACUAAGGACCAGGGUGUUUAGAUACCCGCCUCCUCCUCUUCUGAGGAAUCUGGUCUUUCGGGGCGUGGGUUCGAAUCCCACUCUCGUCA
rfam:Leucoagaricus sp. SymC.cos contig13272, whole genome shotgun sequence.